CCUACGGGAGGCAGCAGUCGAGAAUCAUUCACAAUGGGGGAAACCCUGAUGGUGCGACGCCGCGUGGGGGAAUGAAGGUCUUCGGAUUGUAAACCCCUGUCAUGUGGGAGCAAAUUAAAAAGAUAGUACCACAAGAGGAAGAGACGGCUAACUCUGUGCCAGCAGCCGCGGUAAUACAGAGGUCUCAAGCGUUGUUCGGAAUCACUGGGCGUAAAGGGUGCGUAGGCUGUUUCGUAAGUCGGGUGUGAAAGGCGCGGGCUCAACCCGCGGACGGCACAUGAUACUGCGAGACUAGAGUAAUGGAGGGGGAACCGGAAUUCUCGGUGUAGCAGUGAAAUGCGUAGAUAUCGAGAGGAACACUCGUGGCGAAGGCGGGUUCCUGGACAUUAACUGACGCUGAGGCACGAAGGCCAGGGGAGCGAAAGGGAUUAGAUACCCUGGUAGUC
rnacentral:rRNA from 1 species